ensembl:lncRNA LINC01919 long intergenic non-protein coding RNA 1919
GUUCUAAUGGCUCUCAAGCAAGGUCCACUUGCAGUGAAAUAAACCAGAGGUUUGAAUCAUGGCUUGAUACGAAAUUAUUGGAAAGAAUAUGGCGAUGACAUCCACAAUGCCGGUAAGAAGACGAAAUUACAAGCAGGAUGAAAAAUUUGUUCAAUGAAACACAGCUAUUAAGUGGCUGACCUAAUAAGUGUUAUGUAUAAGUGACUCAUCCAUUGUAGCUUCUGGGACUCAACUUUAGGAUCAUCGUCAUAUGCAGCCUGGAGCUAGCCAUAUUUGAAGAGCUAGGAAGGAGGCACAGUGAUUGACAAUCUCCUUUCUCCUCAACUAGAAUGUCAUUUCCUUUUUUAAAACUAAUUUAAAUCCCAUCUACAUUCAAUUGCUUGUCUAAAAUAAAACCCAACUCCUCUCUUAAAGACUUUAAAAAUAUUAUAUAGCAGAGUUCAUCCUUUCUUUCUUCAGAGAAAGCAUCAUGAAAACAUGUUUUCAGGACAUUAAUAACUUGAUAUUCACAACCAACCUUUAAAUUUGGAAACAAGGAAUUCAUAACUACGUUGUAUAUAUAUGAAGAAAGUAAGCCUCAGAGAAUUUCAAGAGCCCGUCCAGGAUAGUCUGCUUCAGAGCCAUGGUUCUCAAAGUAUAUCAGAUCUCCAGAGUAGGUCUGCAGUGGGAGCCAAAAUUUUGCAUUUCUAACUUGGUCCCAGGUGAUACUUGUGCUGGCGCUGCUAGUCUACACUUAACUCUAUUCACUUUUUUUGUGUUUUCUUAGGAUAAAGAAAAUAUUUAGAAGAUGAGAUUCCUGUGUUUCUGGCUUUCAUGUAAGAAUUUUAUCUGAAAAAAGAAGCAUAGACAUGUAGAAAUUUUAUAUUUUUAUAGAUAAACUCAUUGGAUUAUCUGUUUUUCAUCUUGGAACACACUAUCAACAUUUUCUUUAGAAGAUAUGCAGGACAGGUGGCUUUCAGUGGGAAGAAAGUGUCCUAACUAAAAACCUCAAGGAAGAUAGGGCAUGUGGAAAUAAAGACCAUCCAAAUGAGAACAAACAUAAGCUAUGUAUUCAGAGCUUGCUACAGCAAGGGCAUCCAUGCCACCACUUCAACUUGUCAGAGGCUGAAAGGCAGACAAAGCAGUGGGGAAGCUUUAGAGUGGAGAAAAGGAAAGGUGUUAGGCAUGUUUUAAUUGAGGUCAUUGUCAUGAUAGCACUGGAGUCAAUGGAGGUAGGCUAGCAAAAAGUGAGACAUCUUAUGUGAUGGGUUUGGGGAUCACAUUUAGCUUUCUCUGGUUGGUUCUGAAUUGGAAAAAAGAAAAAAAAAAGAUGAAAAAUAAGGAGGCUGGCAGUUGUUGACCAAAUCGUGACCAUUCUGGACCAAUCUUAAGAGAUUGUAACUGGUUUCCUGCAAUGGUUGCUGCAGAGUCUGUGGGCCAGAGUUCUGUUUAUUACACAUAGAAUGACGGUUAUCUGUUUCUAAUUCAGUUUCUCAAGAGCUUACAAGGAUGUCAGCAAAAGCAAGCCAUCUCUGACUCCACAGUCAACUUAUCCACUAGGCAGACAUGACCUACUGUCAAAAGCCCAUGAUACUUUUAGGGACCUAUAAGAACAUUUUAAUUUCUUUUAAAAUCAGAAAAAAAAAUGAACUUACAGAUUUUUAAAUGUUUGAAUGCAUAAUGUCAAUAUAUUUAUUCCAAGUC